CUUUGAAAUACCAGUUCUCAUACAAUCACUGAAGUUAAGCAAUGUCAAGCCUGGUCAGUAUCUAGAUGGGUGACUGCUUGGGAAUAUCAGGUGCUGUAA
rnacentral:rRNA from 1 species